CUUGGAACUUAUCCUGUCUAUGAUUCUUAUUGAACUACAACUGGAAUGCCCUGGAGAGGUAAAUACAUCACCUUAUGGGGUUUGACACACUGAACAGGAAUCCCAAGGAUGAUGAAUCUCACUGAAGAAGUCCAAGCUAAAAAAAUUUCACAUACACCACAAGAAUUACUAAUAAGCUUAGUUGAUGCAUGCCAGGAUAAUUUUAGUUAAAAGGUAAGUCAAUAUUUCUUUUACAAGCAUAGUGCAACGGUGUUUACACAACUGGUGGGCUAUUAUGGACUUAUUUAACUUGUUUGAAGGAAUAUAGAGCCCAUUAUUUGCCCUGCUCAUUUUACAUUCAUGAUAUAAUCAGGCUUAUGCUGAAUUUCUUAACUUCCUUUUACCAACAAAGUAUAAUUAAUUGAGAAGGGAGGAGGAGGAUUUAGGAAUAAAGAUCUCUUUUCUUUCAGAAUUAUUUAUUCUGCGGGAAAGCAUUAGUUCAGCUAAUUUGUUACUUUGAAAUAGUCUAUUAUGUGAAAUCAAUUGGAUCUGCCUUUGAUUUUAUCCAACAUAAAGAUGACCUUUAAAUAUAUCCAUGUAUUCUAAGGGAAAGGUUAGUGGUAUACGAUAUUAUCAAUUCUUUAGCUUAUUUUGAUCUCAUUGUCUAAUUUCAUGUAUGAUAGUGAGCACACUACUACUGGUAUGCAGCUUGUUUCCUAAGAACAUAUGUCCAAUCAAACUCACAUAUGAAGCC
rnacentral:lncRNA from 1 species